rnacentral:lncRNA from 1 species
UGCUGUCACCUACCCAAAGAACAUCCCGGGGUCCUCAUCCCAUAGUCGAGAGCACCCAGGGGUGUUAUCCUACGCCUGGAGGCACCCAGGGGUGCCAACACCAUUCCUAGGGAGCACCCAGGGGUGCUGUCACCUACCCAAGGAGCACCCAGGGGUGCUAGUCUUGUAGGUAAGAGCACUUAGAGGAGCUAUAAUACAUCUGGGAAGCACCCAGGGGUGCUUGUGCCAUGCCCAGGAGCACCCAGGGGUGCUAUAACCCACCUGAGGAGCACCCAGGGGUGCUGUAACCUACUCGAAAAACAUCCUGGGGUCCUCAUCCCAUAGCCAGGAGCACCCAGGGGUGCUAUAACCCACCCAAGGAGCACCCAGGGGUGCUGUGCUACACCCAGGGGGCACCCAGGGGUGCCAAUNAGGGGCACCCAGGGGUGCUAUAACCUACCCAAAGAACCUUCCUAAGUCCUCAUCCCGCAUCCAGGAGCACCCAGGGGUGCUGCAGUCUACCCGAGGAGCACCCAGGGGUGCUAGUCUCACAGCCAGGAGCACCCAGGGGUGCUAAAACCCACCUGAGGAGCACCCAGGGGUGCUGUAACCUACUCAAGGAGCACCCAGAGGUGCUAUUCCAUGCCUGGGAGCACCCAGGGGUGCUGUAACCCACCUGAGGAGCACCCAGGGGUGCUGUAACCUGCCUGAAAAACAUCCCAGGGUCCUCAUCCCAUAGUCAGGAGCACCCAGGGGUGCUAUUCCCAUGCCCAGGAGCACCCAGGGGUGCUGUGCUACACCGAGGGGGCACCCAGGGGUGCCAGUCGCAUACUCAGGAGCACCCAGGGGUGCUAUAACCUACCCAAGGAGCACCCAGGGGUGCUAUAACACAUCUAGGGAGCACCCAGGGGUGCUCAUCCCAUGCCCAGGAGCACCCAGGCGUGCUGCAGUCUACCCGAGGAGCACCCAGGGGUGCUAGUCUCACAGCCAGGAGCACCUAAGGGUGCUGUAACACGUUUAGGGAGCACCCAGGGGUGCUCUAACCUACCCAAGGAGCACCCAGGGGUGCUAUUCCAUGCCCAGGAGCACCCAGGGGUGCUGUAACCUACCUGAAAAGCAUCCCCAGGUCCUCAUCCCAUAGCCAGGAGCACCCAGGGGUGCUAGUCUCACAGCCA